CAAUAGCGUAUAUUAAAGUUGUUGCAGUUAAAAAGCUCGUAGUUGGAUUUCUGGUGGGAGCGAUCGGUCUGGCGCUUAGCGCGAGUACUUGCAUCGUCUCCGGCCAUCCUUGGGAAGAGUCUGUCUGGCAUUAGGUUGUCGGGCAGAGGAUCCUCAUCGUUUACUGUGAAAAAAUUAGAGUGUUCAAAGCAGGCUUAUGCCGUUGAAUAUAUUAGCAUGGAAUAAUAAGAUAGGACUUUGGUACUAUUUUGUUGGUUUGCGCACCAAAGUAAUGAUUAAUAGGGACAGUUGGGGGUAUUCGUAUUCCGUUGUCAGAGGUGAAAUUCUUGGAUUUACGGAAGACGAACUACUGCGAAAGCAUUUACCAAGGAUGUUUUCAUUAA
rnacentral:rRNA from 1 species